ensembl:processed_transcript
GUAAACAGAAGAGCCUCUCCCACUUCACCACAUUCAAAAGCUUUGUGAUGUGGGGUGUUGUUCAGCUGCAUAUAGCCAUCAAGAGAUGGGUACUGUGUGGUCAAAAAUGGAUAAACAUAAUCAGCUAUAAUAUUCAGAUCACGCUGGUUGACAGGUCAUCAUUUGCUCCAACCGGUGGCACGACGCACCUCUCCUUCACACCGUCCUGCUCCUCACGUCGCUCCGUCCUUUCACAACUUCACGUCGGGGAAGCCAAUUCGCCAUCUGCUCACAAUAGAAGGAGAUGUGACCAUGCCAGAUCAUAGUGUCUCCUUCUCAUCCCUGACCUGAGGACGAUCGGCCUGUUUUCUCCUGCCCUGAUCG